rnacentral:lncRNA from 1 species
CCAAGGAUGAAGGGACCCUAUGGGGACAUGGGGGCUGAGCGAGGACCCCGGGGCGCAGGAGAGGAGCCGGGGGGACGUGGUGGCCAUGGCCGAUGUCGUUGUCCCCGGGCACGGGGCGCCGUUCCGUGUCAUCAAGGGUGGGGACAUUGGGGACAUUGGGGACAUGAGUGGAGAGGAUGGGGAUGACAAUGACAUUGAGUCUUGAAGGACCCUAUGGGGACAUGGGGACAACCCCAGGGGAGAUGGGACCUCUGGAGGUGUCCCCAAGACCCCUGAGAUGUCCCCAAGACCCAUGAGAUGUCCCCAAGGCCUUGAAGACCCAAGAGAUGUCCCCAAGACUCAUCAGAUGUCCCCAAUGACUGAAGACCCAAGAGAUGUCCCCAAGACCCAAGAGAUGUCCCCAAGACCCAUGAGAUGUCCCCAAGACUCAUCAGAUGUCCCCAAUGAUUGAAGACCCAAGAGAUGUCCCCAAGACCCAAGAGGUGUCCCCAAGACCCGAGACACCCCCACAACGUCCCCACGAUGUCCCCAAGACCUAUUGAAACCCAACCCACCGAAUUGGGGUGGAGCCCCCCCGCGGGUUCUUUGGGGACGACUCGGGGCUGAACGGGGUUCGGCUGCUCUGCGGGGACACGGGGACG